GGAAUAACGAUGACGGAGAAGAGUAGUUUGCAGGUCGCCAUUUAGGGAGAAAAUGCCGUAGACUGGAAGCAUUUUUAUGGUAGAGGCAAACGAAUUCACCUCCAGAGUUGACGCCAGGACCAUGCGGAAGCAUGUAAAGGCGCUCCGGCUGUGCCGUUAUGAUAAUGAAGUGAACAAAGAUUCUUUCUUUGUUAAUAAGGGUGGUACCGCGAAAUUCAACUCGUCCCUUUU
rnacentral:ncRNA from 1 species